GCAGGUUCGAAUCCUGCACGACCCACCAAUUUAACAUCAAACUCAGAUGUUGAACGUGAAGGAUAACGUUGCGUCAGCAACGGCCCGUAGGGCGAGGCGGAGCCGAGUCAUCCUGCACGACCCACCA
rnacentral:sRNA from 1 species